rnacentral:RNase_MRP_RNA from 2 species
GCGCCGACUGAAGAAUCGCUGUCGCAGCUCACGCACAGGGAGUCUUGCACUCCCUCAUUCCAGCUGUGGGGAAAGUCCCCGGAGAUGCAGAUUUACGCCUCGUCCACUUCGAUGGAAAGCGGUCGCCCCUAAGCACGGCGGGACCGGAUGAGGACGGAGGGAAUGCUCUGCCCGGGCUGCUUGCGUGGUGAGCACUCGCGCUAGCUCUCUCCAGUCUGCCGCUUGGCUCGCGGACGUGUGCUCGGCGAAGGCGCGGAAGUGCGAAGAUAGGAGCACUUCAGUUGCUCGGGUGCACGGCUCGCGAGCGGGCACUACGUUGCUCAUAGACACAGUUAUGCGGUUGCGGGCAGGUUGCUCGUCAACGGAAUGGGGCUUACUCUCAUUCGGCG